rnacentral:rRNA from 1 species
AUGACAAUUUUUGACGACGAUGAUGAUGCGGAGCCACAACUGAAGGUCGUUGACAACUACUAUUUUGUGAAAGCCAAGAACGAGUUUGUUUGUUUCAGCACCUUGCCCCUUAAGUUUGAUGAAAAUGAUAAAGUCUCCGGGAAGGGUAUCUACUUGCGUCGAUAUUCCACAGAUGGCGCCCCUGCGGUAUACAAGCAGGUUGUAGCUUGGACAGUAGCACUUAACCGUGAGCAGCCAAAGAUCUCAGUGCUUUCAAGUGAGGGCUAUUGGAUAGAAUUGGAUCUAUUGAAACCACGAAAAAUCUAUUGGAAGUUUGCUCGAUCAGCAUUAACGACAGUUCAAAUGCUCCACUUUGUCAAAAGGCAACCCAGAAAACCGAUGAUAAGUCUUUCUGUUCACCUUCGUGAAGUAUUCAGUAAAUUUGAAACGGAAGAGAUGGAGAAUGCUUUAGGGAAACACCAUCACAUAAUCAAGCGAUGUGCAGAGAGGGAUCCUGCUUUAAUGAGGUCAAAGGUUCUGCAAAGCUUUAUCAAUGACACUUCUGGGAAAUACUUUGAGUGCAUAUUAAGGAGUCUGAGCACCAAGGAGUCAUUCAUUGUUGUUGCUGAGCCUCUUGCAAGUGGGGGUAAAGGCAAUUGCGAUACAGAUAGUGAUGGUAACAUAAUCGGCGAUGAUGGUGAUGGUACUGAGCCAAUAUGUGCAAUAUGUGACGAAGGAGGAGAAUUACUUAGCUGUAAAGGUCGAUGCAAGAGAGCCUUCCAUCCUACAAUAGAAGCUGGCAGAAAGUCUAAAUGUGUAACACUUGGUUACACUGCUGUACAAGUAAAGGAAAUGAAUAAGUUCAUAUGCGAAAACUGUAGAUAUGAACAACACCAAUGUUUCAAAUGUGGAGAACUCGACUCGUCUCAUGAGCCUAAUGCCAAGGUCUUUCAAUGUUGUAAACUGUUUUGUGGCCACUUCUACCACCCCAAGUGUGCUGCAGAAUUACUUCAGUCUGACAGUAAUGGAGCCUGUGAGUUGGAGAACAAGAUUGCAGCUGGGAUGCCAUUUCCAUGUCCUGUACAUUGGUGCUCCAGACCUGAUUGUAAAAAAAUGGAGGAAGGGACUGAAAGAGCAAUGUGGCUUGCUGGCUGCAGACGUUGUCCAAAGUCAUAUCACUUAGAUUGUUUGCCAAGGGAGAUAUGCUUUAAGUAUGGUAACAGGGGUAUACGUGCUUGGUUUCUAUCGGAAAGAAACCUAUCUAAAAGACUCAUCAUUUACUGCACAGACCAUGAGAUAGACCCAGCUAUGGGAACACCUUGCAGGGAUCAUAUAAAGUUCCCUGCUCUUGUAGAAAACAAAGGUCAUGGUUCAACAGAAUCCACAAAGUUUCAGCACUCUGAGAGGAAACCAUUGUGUAGAAUUUUGAUGAUGGUCCUGAGGACUUUGAAGAUUCUGCCAAACCAGACAUGA